rnacentral:rRNA from 1 species
GUCGGGAAUAUUGGGCAAUGGGCGAAAGCCUGACCCAGCAACGCCGCGUGAAGGAUGAAGGCCUUAGGGUCGUAAACUUCUGUCGAGAGGGAAGAAUUGCGUGUGGUCAAUAUCCAUGCGUUUGACGGUACCUCCAAAGGAAGCACCGGCUAACUCCGUGCCAGCAGCCGCGGUAAUACGGAGGGUGCAAGCGUUGUUCGGAUUUAUUGGGCGUAAAGCGAGUGUAGGCGGUUUGAAAAGUCGGGUGUGAAAUCCCAGGGCCCAACCCUGGAACUGCAUCCGAUACUGUCAGGCUAGAGUUCCGGAGAGGGUGGCGGAAUUCCCGGUGUAGGGGUGAAAUCCGUAGAUAUCGGGAGGAACACCAGUGGCGAAGGCGGCCACCUGGACGGUGACUGACGC